rnacentral:rRNA from 1 species
GAAACGACUGCUAAGACUGGAUAGGAAAUUAAGAGGCAUCUUUUAAUUUUUAAAAGACCUUUUUCGAAAGGUAUACUUAAAGAGGGGCUUGCGCCACAUUAGUUAGUUGGUAGGGUAAAGGCUUACCAAGACGAUGAUGUGUAGCUGGACUGAGAGGUCGAACAGCCACAUUGGGACUGAGACACGGCCCAAACUCCUACGGGAGGCAGCAGUAAGGAAUUUUUGGCAAUGGAGGAAACUCUGACCGAGCGACGUCGCGUGAACAAUGAAGUACUUCGGUAUGUAAAGUUCUUUUAUUGAAAAAGAAAAAAUAGUGGAAAAACUAUCUUGACAUUAUUCAAUGAAUAAGCCCCGGCUAAUUAUGUGCCAGCAGCCGCGGUAAUACAUAAGGGGCGAGCGUUAUCCGGAAUUAUUGGGCGUAAAGGGUGCGUAGGCGGUUUGAUAAGUCUAUAGUUUAAAUGCAGUGCUUAACGCUGUAGCGCUAUAGAAACUGUCUGACUAGAGUUAGAUAGAGGCAAGCGGAAUUCCAUGUGUAGCGGUAAAAUGCGUAAAUAUAUGGAGGAACACCAGAGGCGUAGGCGGCUUGCUGGGUCUUAACUGACGCUGAGGCACGAAAGCGUGGGGAGCAAACAGGAUUAGAUACCCUGGUAGUCCACGCCGUAAACGAUGAGUACUAAGUGUCGGGUUUCGGCUCGGUACUGAAGUUAACACAUUAAGUACUCCGCCUGAGUAGUACGUACGCAAGUAUGAAACUUAAAGGAAUUGACGGGACCCCGCACAAGCGGUGGAUCAUGUUGUUUAAUUCGAAGAUACACGAAAAACCUUACCAGGUCUUGACAUAAUUUUGCGACAUUAUAGAAAUAUAAUGAAGGUUAUCAGAAUUACAGGUGGUGCAUGGUUAUCGUCAGCUCGUGUCGUGAGAUGUUAGGUUAAGUCCUAAAACGAGCGCAACCCUUGUCGUUAGUUGCGACCACGUAAUGGUGAGCACUUUAGCGAGACUGCCAAUGAAAAAUUGGAGGAAGGUGAGGAUUACGUCAAAUCAUCAUGCCCCUUAUGAUCUGGGCUACAAACGUGAUACAAUGGCUGUUACAAAGAGUAGCUACAACGUGAGUUUUUAGCCAAUCUCAAAAAAACAGUCUCAGUUCGGAUUGAAGUCUGCAGCUCGACUUCAUGAAGUUGGAAUCGCUAGUAAUCGCGAAUCAGCAUGUCGCGGUGAAUACGUUCUCGGGUUUGUACACACCGCCCGUCA